GGAAGCACUGCCCGGGCCCUUCCACGCGCCGGCACCUGGCAACCCGCGAGCAGGGCCGAGCGAUCCCGGCCAGCCCCAGUCAGUGCCGACGCCGCCGGUCGAGAUGCUUCGCGGGGCGCCCGAAGGCCAGGCCACCGCCGUCACCAGAGCCUUGUCGGCCGCGUCCGUGCUCUGCCAAGUGGAGCCCGUGGGAAGAUGGUUUGAAGCCUUCGUGAGGAGGAGAAACAUACACGUUUCUGCCUCUUUCCAAGAAUUAGAAGAUGAGAAAGAACUCUCUGAAGAGUCGGGAGAUGAAGAAUUACAACUAGAAGAAUUUCCCAUGUUAAAAACUCUGGAUCCCAAAGAUUGGAAGAAUCAGGAUCACUAUUUGGUUCUUGGAUUGGGACAGUUAAGAUACAAGGCCUCUCAGAAACAGAUCAAAGCAGCUCAUAAAGCCAUGGUUCUGAAGCACCAUCCUGACAAACGGAAAGCAGCAGGAGAACAAAUUGGCGAAGGUGACAAUGAUUAUUUUACCUGCAUUACAAAAGCCUACGAAACAUUAUCGGACCCCUUGAAGAGAAGAGCAUUUAACAGCAUAGACCCUACUUUCGACAAUACGAUUCCUUCGAAAAGCGAAGCAAAAGAAAACUUCUUCGAGGUUUUUGCGCCUGUUUUUGAAAGAAACGCCAGGUGGUCAAAUAAGAAAAAUGUUCCUAAACUUGGGGAUAUGAACUCAACUUUUGAUGAGGUGGAUGCCUUUUAUUCUUUCUGGUAUAACUUUGAUUCUUGGCGAGAAUUUUCUUACUUGGAUGAAGAAGAAAAAGAGAAAGCAGAAUGUCGAGAUGAGAGAAGAUGGAUUGAGAAGCAAAACAGAGCAGGUAGAUCGUUAAGGAAAAAGGAAGAGAUGAAUAGAAUGAGGACAUUAGUUGAUAACUCGUACAGUUGUGAUCCCAGAAUUAAAAAGUUCAAGGAGGAAGAAAGAGCAAAGAAAGAAGCCGAGAAGAAAGCGAAGGCAGAAGCAAAACGAAAAGAGCAAGAGGAAAAAGAAAGACAAAGGCAGGCGGAACUCGAGAUGGCGCGACUGGCCAAGGAGAAGGAGGAGGAGGAAGCGAGACAACAGACUUUGCUGAUGAAGAAAGAGAAGGAUAUUCAGAAGAAAGCGAUUAAAAAGGAAAGGCAAAAACUGCGAACCACCUGCAAGAACUGGAAUUACUUUUCUGACAACGAGGCAGAAAAUGUUAAGAUGAUGGAAGAAGUUGAAAAGCUUUGUGACCGCCUGGAGCUGGCAAGUCUGCAGUGCUUGAAUGAAGCACUUACAUCCACCACAAAGGACGAAGGGAAGGCUGCGGUAUUAAAACAGAUAGAACAAGUAAAUGAGCAGGUAAGGAGAGAAAAGGAAGAAGCCGAAGCUCGAAUGCGGCAAGCCACAAAGAGCUCGGAGAAGUCCACAAGCGGAAGUGUCGGUGGUAGCAAGAACUGGUCGGAAGAUGACCUCCAGUUGCUGAUUAAAGCAGUCAAUCUCUUCCCGGCUGGGACAAACUCAAGAUGGGAAGUUAUUGCCAAUUACAUGAAUUUGCACUCUACCACCGGGAUAAAACGAACGGCGAAAGACGUUAUCAACAAAGCAAAGAACCUCCAGAAACUUGGUAUCGUUAUCUUUAUCCCCAUCAAAAGGACGACAUCAAUAAGAAAGCUUUUGAUAAAUUUAAGAAAGAGCAUGGAGUCAUACCACAAACAGACAGCGCUGCCCCAUCAGAACGCUUUGAAGUAUCAUUCACAGACGCAACUCCGUGGACGACAGAAGAGCAGAAACUCUUAGAACAGGCUCUCAAAACCUAUCCAGUGAAUACUCCCGAGAGAUGGGAGAAAAUAGCAGCCUCCGUUCCAGGCCGGUCUAAAAAAGACUGUAUGAAGCGAUAUAAGGAGCUUGUGGAAAUGGUCAAAGCCAAGAAAGCCGCCCAAGAGCAAGUCGUGAACGCUGCUAAAACUAAGAAAUGAGAUUUCUCCCAUGACAAUCCUACUAGUGUGUGUUUUUGUUUUGUAAUAAAAAAAAAAUACAAAUGCAGAA